rnacentral:rRNA from 1 species
UGCAUAUCAAUAAGCGGAGGAAAAGAAACCAACAGGGAUUGCCUUAGUAACGGCGAGUGAAGCGGCAAAAGCUCAAAUUUGAAAUCUGGCACCUUCGGUGUCCGAGUUGUAAUUUGAAGAAGGUAACUUUGGAGUUGGCUCUUGUCUAUGUUCCUUGGAACAGGACGUCACAGAGGGUGAGAAUCCCGUGCGAUGAGAUGCCCAAUUCUAUGUAAAGUGCUUUCGAAGAGUCGAGUUGUUUGGGAAUGCAGCUCUAAGUGGGUGGUAAAUUCCAUCUAAAGCUAAAUAUUGGCGAGAGACCGAUAGCGAACAAGUACAGUGAUGGAAAGAUGAAAAGAACUUUGAAAAGAGAGUGAAAAAGUACGUGAAAUUGUUGAAAGGGAAGGGCUUGAGAUCAGACUUGGUAUUUUGCGAUCCUUUCCUUCUUGGUUGGGUUCCUCGCAGCUUACUGGGCCAGCAUCGGUUUGGAUGGUAGGAUAAUGACUAAGGAAUGUGGCUCUACUUCGGUGGAGUGUUAUAGCCUUGGUUGAUACUGCCUGUCUAAACCGAGGACUGCGUCUUUUGACUAGGAUGUUGGCAUAAUGAUCUUAAGCCACCCGUCUUGAAACACGGACACAU